GAGGGUAGAGCUCAGUGGUAGAGUGCCUGCUUAGCAUGCAAGAGGUCCUGGGUUCAAUCCCCAGUACCUCCA
rnacentral:tRNA from 1 species